rnacentral:rRNA from 1 species
UACGUAGGGUGCGAGCGUUAAUCGGAAUUACUGGGCGUAAAGCGUGCGCAGGCGGUCCGCGAAGUCUGAUGUGAAAGCCCCGGGCUCAACCUGGGAACUGCAUUGGAAACUAACGGGCUCGAGUGUGGCAGAGGGGGGUGGAAUUCCACGUGUAGCAGUGAAAUGCGUAGAGAUGUGGAGGAACACCGAUGGCGAAGGCAGCCCCCUGGGCUAACACUGACGCUCAGGCACGAAAGCGUGGGGAGCAAACAGG